rnacentral:rRNA from 1 species
AGGGAUCAUUACCGAGUUAUCCAACUCCCAACCCCUGUGAAUUAUACCUUUAAUUGUUGCUUCGGCGGGACUUCGCGCCCGCCGGGGACCCAAACCUUCUGAAUUUUUUAAUAAGUAUCUUCUGAGUGGUUAAAAAAAAAUGAAUCAAAACUUUCAACAACGGAUCUCUUGGUUCUGGCAUCGAUGAAGAACGCAGCGAAAUGCGAUAAGUAAUGUGAAUUGCAGAAUUCAGUGAAUCAUCGAAUCUUUGAACGCACAUUGCGCCCGUCAGUAUUCUGGCGGGCAUGCCUGUUCGAGCGUCAUUACGCCCCUCAAGUCCCCUGCGGACUUGGUGUUGGGGAUCGGCGAGGCUGGUUUUCCAGCACAGCCGUCCCUUAAAUUAAUUGGCGGUCUCGCCGUGGCCCUCCUCUGCGCAGUAGUAAAGCACUCGCAACAGGAGCCCGGCGCGGUCCACUGCCGUAAAACCCCCCAACUUUUUAUAGUUGACCUCGAAUCAGGUAGGACUACCCGCUGAACUUAA